UGUGUGUGUGUGUUUUCAGAUUCCUCAUAUACAUGAAAUCAUAGGGUAUUGUCUUCCUGUGAUUGGCUUAUUUCACUUAGCAUAAUAC